rnacentral:rRNA from 1 species
CCUACGGGAGGCAGCAGUGGGGAAUAUUGCACAAUGGGGGAAACCCUGAUGCAGCGACGCCGCGUGAGUGAAGAAGUAUUUCGGUACGUACAGCUCUAUCAGCAGGGAAGAAAAUGAAGGUACCUGACUAAGAAGCCCCGGCUAACUACGUGCCAGCCGCCGCGGUAAUACGUAGGGGGCAAGCGUUAUCCGGAUUUACUGGGUGGAAAGGGAGCGUAGACGGCAGCGCAAGUCUGGAGUGAAAUCCCGGGGCUUAACCAUGGAACUGCCUUGGAAACUGUGCAGCUGGAGUGCAGGAGAGGUAGGCGGAAUUCCUGGUGUAGCGGUGAAAUGCGUAGAUAUUAGGAGGAACACCGGUGGCGAAGGCGACUUACUGGACUGUAACUGACGUUGAGGCUCGAAAGCGUGGGGAGCAAACAGGAUUAGAUACCCCAGUAGUC